rnacentral:rRNA from 1 species
UUGCAGUUAAAAAGCUCGUAGUUGGAGUUCAGGGUGAGCUCAGCCGGUCGGCUUCAUGAGUCAGAACUGGUCGACUCUCCCUUGUUUGUGGAUCCCGCCCGGAGUUAACUCUUCGGGAUGUGGAGUUCACAUCGUUUACCUUGAAAAAAUUAGAGUGUUCAAAGCAGGCGUUUGCUUGAAUAUAUUAGCAUGGAAUAAUGGAAUAGGACCCUGGUUCUAUUUUGUUGGUUUUGAGAACCAGAGUAAUGAUUAAUAGGGAUAGUUGGGGGCAUUCAUAUUUCAUUGUCAGAGGUGAAAUUCUUGGAUUUAUGAAAGAUGAACUUCUGCGAAAGCAUUUGCCAAGGAUGUUUUCAUUAAUCAAGAACGAAAGUUAGGGGAUCGAAGACGAUCAGAUACCGUCGUAGUCUUAACCAUAAACUAUGCCGACUAGGGAUUGGGCGUGGUUUGUUCAUUGACCCGCUCAGCACCUUACGAGAAAUCAAAGUCUUUGGGUCCCGGGGGGAGUAUGGUCGCAAGGCUGAAACUUAAAGGAAUUGACGGAAGGGCACCACCAGGAGUGGAGCCUGCGGCUUAAUUUGACUCAACA